UCCUUCUGAUGAAGAGUGCACGUUCCUCGGGCUUUGAGUCACGAAGCUCCCAGUUUCCUUAGCCUCUUUGGUCCUAAUCAAGUUUUGGAUGACAAAAGCUAUCUGUAAAACCGUGAAAGUGGCUACGCUUGGGUAUAAAAACAAGUUGGAGCUGAGAAGGAUGUCGCAGUCCGGGUUCUGAAUUGGUCUGUAACCGAUUUGUAUCCUCAUCCGUCUUUCAGACUCUGAUAUCUAAAAUGCGUUCCAGUUUUAUAGUCGUCAUGGUCUGUGUUGUCGUCGUUCUUACUUUCUGGGGGCAGGUGGCAGAAGCCACUCGUAAGCUGCCGUUCAAUGGCAGCAUAUUUGGCAAACGUAGUAAUCAAGGCACAGACAAACUUGAAUCGCCCUCGAAUCUGCAGCUUCUUUGCGAUGCGGCUAUGAACGCGUGCAGCGAUUGGCUCCCAAUUGGUUCGAAAUAGCGAUGGAACUGCUCUGUCCGACACAGCUUGAAUUUGUCAAAGAAAUGACACACAAGAUUAAUAUUUACUAUUUCAACUUCUUCAGAUUUUCCUUUAAAUGGAUUUACAUUAAUAAAAACGAAAUAAAACCAUUACAACACA